CAGUGAAAUUGAACUCGCUGUGAAGAUGCAGUGUACCCGCGGCAAGACGGAAAGACCCCGUGAACCUUUACUAUAGCUUGACACUGAACAUUGAGCCUUGAUGUGUAGGAUAGGUGGGAGGCUUUGAAGUGUGGACGCCAGUCUGCAUGGAGCCGACCUUGAAAUACCACCCUUUAAUGUUUGAUGUUCUAACGUUGGCCCGUAAUCCGGGUUGCGGACAGUGUCUGGUGGGUAGUUUGACUGGGGCGGUCUCCUCCUAAAGAGUAACGGAGGAGCACGAAGGUUGGCUAAUCCUGGUCGGACAUCAGGAGGUUAGUGCAAUGGCAUAAGCCAGCUUGACUGCGAGCGUGACGGCGCGAGCAGGUGCGAAAGCAGGUCAUAGUGAUCCGGUGGUUCUGAAUGGAAGGGCCAUCGCUCAACGGAUAAAAGGUACUCCGGGGAUAACAGGCUGAUACCGCCCAAGAGUUCAUAUCGACGGCGGUGUUUGGCACCUCGAUGUCGGCUCAUCACAUCCUGGGGCUGAAGUAGGUCCCAAGGGUAUGGCUGUUCGCCAUUUAAAGUGGUACGCGAGCUGGGUUUAGAACGUCGUGAGACAGUUCGGUCCCUAUCUGCCGUGGGCGCUGGAGAACUGAGGGGGGCUGCUCCUAGUACGAGAGGACCGGAGUGGACGCAUCACUGGUGUUCGGGUUGUCAUGCCAAUGGCACUGCCCGGUAGCUAAAUGCGGAAGAGAUAAGUGCUGAAAGCAUCUAAGCACGAAACUUGCCCCGAGAUGAGUUCUCCCUGACUCCUUGAGAGUCCUGAAGGAACGUUGAAGACGACGACGUUGAUAGGCCGGGUGUGUAAGCGCAGCGAUGCGUUGAGCUAACCGGUACUAAUGAACCGUGAGG
rnacentral:rRNA from 1 species